UCCUCCAUAGCUCAGUCAUUAGAGCGUCCAACCGGCACCUGGAAGGUCAUGGGUUCGAUUCUCGUUGGGGAGCUCAGAA
rnacentral:tRNA from 1 species